rnacentral:sRNA from 1 species
GCCAGGCGUGGUGGUGCACGCCUGUAAUCCCAGCAGCUUGGGAGGCUGAGGCAGGAGGAUCUCAAGUUCAAAGGCAGCCUCAGCAACUUAGUGAGGCCCUAAGCAACUUAGGGAGAACCUGUUUCAA